AUUGAACGCUGGCGGCAUGCUUUACACAUGCAAGUCGGACGGCAGCACAGAGAAGCUUGCUUCUUGGGUGGCGAGUGGCGAACGGGUGAGUAAUGUAUUGGAACGUACCGAGUAAUGGGGGAUAACCAAUCGAAAGAUUGGCUAAUACCGCAUACGUCCUGAGGGGGAAAGCGGGGGAUCUUCGGACCUCGCGUUAUUCGAGCGGCCAAUAUCUGAUUAGCUGGUUGGUGGGGUAAAGGCCUACCAAGGCGACGAUCAGUAGCGGGUCUGAGAGGAUGAUCCGCCACACUGGGACUGAGACACGGCCCAGACUCCUACGGGAGGCAGCAGUGGGGAAUUUUGGACAAUGGGCGCAAGCCUGAUCCAGCCAUGCCGCGUGUCUGAAGAAGGCCUUCGGGUUGUAAAGGACUUUUGUCAGGGAAGAAAAGGCUUUUGAUAAUACCAGGAGCUGAUGACGGACCUGAAGAAUAAGCACCG
rnacentral:rRNA from 1 species